ACUCAAAUGAAUUGACGGGGGUCCGCACAAGCGGUGGAACAUGUGGUUUAAUUCGACACUACGCGAGGAACCUUACCUGGGCUUGACAUGUAUUCGCUACUGGUAGAAAUAUUGGGUUUUUGUAGAAAUAUGAAACGAAUACACAGGUGCUGCAUGGCUGUCGUCAGCUCGUGUCGUGAGAUGUUGGGUUAAGUCCUUUAACGAGCGCAACCCUUGCCGCUAGUUGCUCGCCGUAAGGCAGCUACUCUAGCGGGACUGCCGAGGAAACUCGGAGGAAGGUGGGGAUGACGUCAAGUCCUCAUGGCCCUUAUGUCCAGGGCUACACACGUGUUACAAUGGCUCGUACAAAGAGUUGCAAAGUCGCGAGGCGAAGCAAAUCUCAUAAAACGAGUCUAAGUUCGGAUUGAAGUCUGCAAUUCGACUUCAUGAAGUUGAAAUCGCUAGUAAUCGCGUAUCAGAACGACGCGGUGAAUACGUUCUCGGACCUUGUACACACCGCCCGU
rnacentral:rRNA from 1 species